GAUGAAGAACGUAUCGAAAUGCGAUAAGUAAUGUGAAUUGCAGAAUUCAGUGAAUCAUCGAAUCUUUGAACGCACAUUGCGCCCGCCAGUAUUCUGGCGGGCAUGCCUGUCUGAGCGUCAUUUCAACCCUCAUGCCCCUAGGGCGUGGUGUUGGGGAUCGGCCAAAGCCCGCGAGGGACGGCCGGCCCCUAAAUCUAGUGGCGGACCCGUCGUGGCCUCCUCUGCGAAGUAGUGAUAUUCCGCAUCGGAGAGCGACGAGCCCCUGCCGUUAAACCCCCAACUUUCCAAGGUUGACCUCAGAUCAGGUAGGAAUACCCGCUGAACUUAAGCAUAUCAAUAAGCGGAGGA
rnacentral:misc_RNA from 1 species